GCGCGGAUCUUGCAUCUGAAACUGAGCAGAGCAGGGCGCCGGGCAGGGCCGGCGGGCCACGUGAUAAGCCCGGAAACAGCUCCGCCCCCUCGCUUCCUGAGCCGCCACAUCCCGGCAGCCCUCCUACCUGCGCACGUGGUGCCGCCGCUGCUGCCUCCCGCUCGCCCUGAACCCAGUGCCUGCAGCCAUGGCUCCCGGCCAGCUCGCCUUAUUUAGUGUCUCUGACAAAACCGGCCUUGUGGAAUUUGCAAGAAACCUGACCGCUCUUGGUUUGAAUCUGGUCGCUUCCGGAGGGACUGCAAAAGCUCUCAGGGAUGCUGGUCUGGCAGUCAGAGAUGUCUCUGAGUUGACGGGAUUUCCUGAAAUGUUGGGGGGACGUGUGAAAACUUUGCAUCCUGCAGUCCAUGCUGAGUUGUUGCCUGCAAUCUCUAUCCCUUUGUAAAGACAGUGGCUUCUCCAGGUGUAACUGUUGAGGAGGCUGUGGAGCAAAUUGACAUUGGUGGAGUAACCUUACUGAGAGCUGCAGCCAAAAACCACGCUCGAGUGACAGUGGUGUGUGAACCAGAGGA
rnacentral:lncRNA from 1 species